UGCAGCCACAAGUAGUUUUGCGUC
rnacentral:siRNA from 1 species